UACGGAGGAUCCAAGCGUUAUCCGGAUUUAUUGGGUUUAAAGGGUGCGUAGGCGGCCUAUUAAGUCAGGGGUGAAAGACGGCAGCUCAACUGUCGCAGUGCCUUUGAUACUGAUGGGCUUGAAUACACUUGAGGUAGGCGGAAUGUGACAAGUAGCGGUGAAAUGCAUAGAUAUGUCACAGAACACCAAUUGCGAAGGCAGCUUACUAAAGUGUGAUUGACGCUGAGGCACGAAAGCGUGGGGAUCAAACAGG
rnacentral:rRNA from 1 species